GUGGGUUUUAGUGGAAGUGACGUGCUGUGAUUAGGUACCCAUAGCACCGCUAUCCACUAUGUCUCACCAG
rnacentral:pre_miRNA from 14 species